CUUGUGUGGUUCUGCAUAAUUUUGUAAUAAAUUUGGAGCCAGCGUCCAUCCCCACCAUGGAGGAAAUAGCAGAGGUUCAACUUUCUGGACUGGAGCCUAACCCAAUCAGAUCAAGUGUUUCAGUGAUGCAGAUACGUGAACAGUUUUGCAACUACUUUUCAUCAGAGCAAGGUGCAUUGCCAUGGCAGCAUACAAUAUGAAUAUUGCAAGAGACAACUGGAAAUCCCAUACCUGCAUUGCUGAAACAUCACAAUUGUGUCCAUUGUAUUAUAGUUCUAUUAUGUUUUUGAAUAAAACACCACACUGUUAAACUUUAAA